AUGAUGUUAGCUGACUGUCGGUCUGUCCGGAAACUACAGGCUACCCGGUCUCAGAAGGAAAAAGGAAAAACUGCAACACUUUAUUUUGUUUACUUUCUUCUCUCCAGAGACGAGAGCUCUUUCCCAUGUCUCCCUACACUACACCCACGGUCACCACAAACCAACAGAAAACGGUUUCUGGAUAAAUUUUUGAGUUCUGUGAGCUUUGUCCAAACGAUAGAUUCUGCGACAUGCCUGAAUCAGCAGCAAACGGCUACAGCCCUAGAAACAAGCAGAAAACCUUGGAAUUUGAUAACAUUGCCUGAAUCAGCACCAGACCAAGGCCCUUGGGUAAUGACGAUCGCAGAAAAACGUAUGAGAUUCCUGAGAACCACAGGCUAUUACAACCACGAUAACGAUCAAACUCUCAACAUUCCGCAUCCUACCAAACCGGCACAAGAUCGUGACUAA
rnacentral:rRNA from 1 species